rnacentral:rRNA from 1 species
GGGGAAUAUUGGACAAUGGGGGCAACCCUGAUCCAGCCAUGCCGCGUGAAUGAUGAAGGCCUUCGGGUUGUAAAGUUCUUUUGGUGGGGACGAUGAUGACGGUACCCACAGAAUAAGCUCCGGCUAACUUCGUGCCAGCAGCCGCGGUAAUACGAAGGGGGCUAGCGUUGUUCGGAAUUACUGGGCGUAAAGGGCGCGUAGGCGGUUUUAUAAGUUGGGUGUGAAAGCCCAGGGCUCAACCCUGGAACUGCACUCAAAACUAUUUUACUUGAACUCGGUAGAGGAUGGUGGAAUUCCCAGUGUAGAGGUGAAAUUCGUAGAUAUUGGGAAGAAUAUCCGUGGCGAAGGCGGCCAUCUGGACCGACAUUGACGCUGAGGCGCGAAAGCGUGGGGAUCAAAC